GAUGAACGCUGGCGGCGUGCCUAAUACAUGCAAGUCGAGCGAACGGACGAGAAGCUUGCUUCUCUGAUGUUAGCGGCGGACGGGUGAGUAACACGUGGAUAACCUACCUAUAAGACUGGGAUAACUUCGGGAAACCGGAGCUAAUACCGGAUAAUAUUUUGAACCGCAUGGUUCAAAAGUGAAAGACGGUCUUUCUGUCACUUAUAGAUGGAUCCGCGCUGCAUUAGCUAGUUGGUAAGGUAACGGCUUACCAAGGCAACGAUGCAUAGCCGACCUGUGAGGGGGAUCGGCCACACUGGAAGUGAGACACGGUCCAGACUCCUACGGGAGGCAGCAGUAGGGAAUCUUCCGCAAUGGGCGAAAGCCUGACGGAGCAGCGCCGCGUGAGUGAUGAAGGUCUUCGGAUCGUAAAACUCUGUUAUUAGGGAAGAACAUAUGUGUAAGUAACUGUGCACAUCUUGACGGUACCUAAUCAGAAAGCCACGGCUAACUACGUG
rnacentral:rRNA from 1 species